rnacentral:rRNA from 1 species
UACGAAGGGGGCUAGCGUUGCUCGGAAUCACUGGGCGUAAAGCGGACGUAGGCGGAUUGCUAAGUCAGGGGUGAAAUCCUGGAGCUCAACUCCAGAACUGCCUUUGAUACUGGCGACCUUGAGUCCGGGAGAGGUGAGUGGAACUGCGAGUGUAGAGGUGAAAUUCGUAGAUAUUCGCAAGAACACCAGUGGCGAAGGCGGCUCACUGGCCCGGUACUGACGCUGAGGUGCGAAAGCGUGGGGAGCAAACAGG